AAACACGGCACGGCGAGGGCCGCGUAGUUACUCUGUCGCCCGGCUGCGGCGCAGUCUGUGCCCUGGAGUGAAGUGAAGUAAAAGCCGCUCAGUCGUGUCCGACUUUUUGCGACCCCAUGCACUAUACAGUCCAUGGAAUUCUCCAGGCCAGAAUACUGGAGUGGGUAGCCUUUCUCUCUUUCAGGGAAUCUUCCCAAUCCAGGGAUCGAACCCAGGUCUCCCCGCAUUGCGGGCGGAUUCUUUACCAGCUGAGCCACAAGGAGAGCCCGUCUGUGCCCUAAGGGGACUUAAGCAGCUCUCUGUCGAAGUGUGGAGAUUAGGGGAAUAUGAAGGUUAAGACUGUCAUCUGCAAGCCUCGGCCCUAAGUCAAUCUCAUCGCGUUGGGGCGUGUGUCCCCGGGAGACGGGCCGGGCCCCGGCAGUGGGCGCAGAGAGUAGCGGUGCGUAAGGAGCCUGUGUCCAAGACGUGCGAUGUGGAGGGGGCGUGGCCCCGGCAGUCCCCGUCCCCCCAGGAUCUGCAGAAAUGGCUUGGCCUUGCUGGAAACGCCUUCACUUGCCUUUCCCCUCCCACUAAAAAUGGCCUGGAGUCUGGAAGUCACGGAUCAAGGUGCCAGCAGACUUCAUUUCAAGGUGAGAGUGCUAUUCCUGACUGGAAGACAUCCACCUUCUUGCUGUGUCCUCACAUGGCCUUUCUCUGUGUGCAGGGAGAGCUCUCAGAUGUUUCACUGAUGUCUGAUGUGGCUUCAACGCUUGAGAACUUACACAUCUCUGGCACCUAGUUUGCAGAUGUUGAUCUGACAGAUGCUGUUCUCUCCCUCCCCUGUCAGUAAAGACCCCCAGGAGCAGUUGGCUUUCAUCUGGCAAGGCCAGCACCACACCGUCACUGACCUAUCUCAGGCAUGUGUCACUCCUCAGUCCUGUGCCAUAAUUUAGUCCACAAGGGUCUCAAUUGCUGUUCUCUUCUAUGAGCUACCACACUGACCUGUUCAUGACACUGUCCUGAUUGGAUCUAAGGGAGAACUAUGCACAGGACAGUUGUAUCGUGCUAGGCAGAUGCAGAGCAUUGGAUUGGUCUCAUCCAUUCCAUUUAAAGCCUCAAGAGCAAAGACGGAGGUUUCCCACAGAAGAAGGAAGUCUGCCUCAAGACUGUAGCACAGAAAUCCUGCCCGAGUCUUCAGCCCGAGAGCUUGUCCUACAGACCUCAGCUUGCCAGCACCCACAGUUACAUGAGCUGAUUCCUCAAAAUAAAUCUCUUUAAAUAUAAACCAUA